rnacentral:rRNA from 1 species
AGUGAACGCUGGCGGUAGGCCUAACACAUGCAAGUCGAACGGCAGCACAGUAAGAGCUUGCUCUUACGGGUGGCGAGUGGCGGACGGGUGAGGAAUACAUCGGAAUCUACUUUUUCGUGGGGGAUAACGUAGGGAAACUUACGCUAAUACCGCAUACGACCUACGGGUGAAAGCAGGGGAUCUUCGGACCUUGCGCGAUUGAAUGAGCCGAUGUCGGAUUAGCUAGUUGGCGGGGUAAAGGCCCACCAAGGCGACGAUCCGUAGCUGGUCGGAGAGGAUGAUCAGCCACACUGGAACUGAGACACGGUCCAGACUCCUACGGGAGGCAGCAGUGGGGAAUAUUGGACAAAGGGCGCAAGCCUGAUCCAGCCAUACCGCGUGGGUGAAGAAGGCCUUCGGGUUGUAAAGCCCUUUUGUUGGGAAAGAAAAGCAGCAGGUUAAUACCCCGCUGUUCUGACGGUACCCAAAGAAUAAGCACCGGCUAACUUCGUG